UUUAUAGAAUAUGUCACAUUUGUGCAAGCACUGUGGAAAGAAAUUUUAAGGUCGAAGUGGUUUACGACAACAUGAGAUAGGCAUGAUGGACAGGGGCCAUAUUCAUGUAAUGAAUGCAAGCUUGUUUUUUUUUCAGCAAGUCAAACUUUACUUCCCAUUUGGCAAGCGAAAAACACCAAAACCAUAAGCCAUUCAUAUGUAAAACGUGUGGCAAGUCAUUUGCAACAGAUGCCUAUCUGAAGAACCACUGC
rnacentral:lncRNA from 1 species